rnacentral:rRNA from 1 species
UACAGAGGUCUCAAGCGUUGUUCGGAUUCAUUGGGCGUAAAGGGUGUGUAGGUGGCGCGCUAAGUCGGGUGUGAAAUUUCGGAGCUUAACUCCGAAACUGCAUUCGAUACUGGCGUGCUUGAGGACUGGAGAGGAGACUGGAAUUCAUGAUGUAGCAGUGAAAUGCGUAGAUAUCGUAAGGAAGACCAGUGGCGAAGGCGGGUCUCUGGACAGUUCCUGACGCUGAGGCACGAAGGCCAGGGGAGCAAACGGG